rnacentral:misc_RNA from 1 species
GUACCACAUAGAGGAAAAUAAAGGAGCUAGAUGUUUUCAAAAAUCGUUUGUGUAUUUACUGGCACCAAUAUUGUAUGGUUUGCCCUCUAGAUUCGGUUGAUUUUUAUGGUUUUAGAACGUUCGAGUCCUAUGAGGGGGAUACCCGGAGGGCUGCAGUUUGGCAGUUGGUGCUCAUCUGCCAUAGGCCCACACAGAAAAGCAAGAAGUCAGCCAACAUGGGGCUGCGUGGAAUGCUGCUGGCACCAUUGGUGUCUAUCCUGCUGGGCUAUGCACUCAACCGAAUCCCAGUGGAGAUUGUGACAGAAAGCCAGUUCUACAAGGAGGACCGCUUCGGCCUUCGCUCGGCGUUACAGCACGCCCACGAGCAUGUCGUCUCGUGUCUGAAUGCCCUGGUGAGUCGGGUGACACCCCUGAAGGAGGCCGUGCAACGCAGGGUGACGGGCCUGUUCUCAGGCUCGCCACCACCACCGCCGCCGCCGCCGCCCGCUCCCGCCGGCGACUCCAAGCCGACGUCCAAGCACAAGAAGCGCUCGGGCCGCGGUACGGCCACCCGCCUCUUUACGCGCGAGGAGCUGGCCGAGCACGACGGCUCCAACCCGCGCAAGGGUCCCUACCUGGCGCUGCUGGGCCAGGUGUUUGACGUGAGUCGCGGCCGCCAGCACUACGGACCCGGCGGUGGCUACGCCUUCUUCGCCGGCCGCGACGCAUCGCGCGCCUUCGUGUCGGGCGACUUCAGCGAGGCUGGCCUCAUCGACGACGUGGAGGGCCUCUCGACCCAGGACUACCUCGGCCUGGACGAGUGGCUGCAGUUCUACCGCAAGGACUACCGGCCGGCCGGCCGGCUGGUCGGCCGCUUUUACGACGAGGACGGCCGCGAGACCGAGUACUACAGUCGCCUGCAGCGCUGGAUGGCCGAGGCGCGCGAGCAGCGGCGGCGCGACGACGGCGAGAAGCUCGUCUUCCCGCCGUGCAACUCGGAGUGGAGCCAAGAGCGCGGCGGCCGCGUGUACUGCUCGCGCCGCAGCGGCGGUGUGGCGCGCGACUGGGCCGGCGUGCCGCGCGAGUACUUCGCCGGCGGCAAGAAGCGAUGCGCGUGCGUGCGCGACCGGGGCGCGCCGAGCCACGGCGCCGACCCGGGCACGGACCGCGGCGACCUGGACGACCCGCGGCUGGCCGAGUUCCCCGGCUGCGCGCCGCACGCCGACUCGUGUGUCACCAAGGCUUGAGCACGGUCGCUGCCGGGGCCUGAUGGCCUGGCGCCACCGAGAUCUAGGGGUGAGACGUCCAGCGGCGGCCGCAGCCGCUGCUGCAGCAGGCUGUGACGGCUUCCGACGGGGCCGCGUGGGCGAUGGGGACGCGCAGAACGUAAGGCAGUUGGACAUGGCUCUGGUGAUGGCGUUAGAUGUGACCAUUGAGUGAUAACAUUAGCAAUAACGAUCGGCUGAUGGCUGUUUGAUGAAUGUAGGUAUUUGACUAACCAUUCUCCGAUGGCUUAUUCUGACUAGGAAUUGGAAAGUUGGCUUUAAGUUUACAUGACAUGUUGUCCUAAUGCGUCACCUCUUAGCAUGCUGUGUAAGACUGGUUGACCCACUUUGAACUGUUCCCUUCCCCGUUUGAGCCCCCCCCCCCCCUUCUCCAGUCAUGUUCUCUUUUCGUUUUUGUUUUUGUUUUUGUUUUUGUUAUAUGUUCAGGCCCGUGACAUCCAGAACAUUAUGCUCCGAUGCUACUGCUUUGUGACGACGAAGAGGUUGUGAAGCAUGUGUGCUCCCAUGCGCUUUAAGGGCAGGAGCAUGCAAUAUAGGCCAAUAUCGGCUUUUGGUUGCCUGUACGUGGACCAGGCAAAUACCUGAAAGCGCGCUGUUUGUUGCCGUUGUGUUCCAUCAUUUAUAUUGCAUAUGCAUUUCGAAUGGAUAGAUCACGAUGAAUGUUUUGUCGGUACCUGAGUGCGCUCCAAAACUGGAAAUCCUCAUUUAUAAAUGUCCCGUGCUUUUUAUGAAUUUGCCUUUUCAAAGCUCCCGUUUAAAUAGUUUACAAACAGCAAACAGCGAUAAGAGGUCGUCCCAAUCAGUUGGCUCAUUUGGCUGCGGUUUAUUCUUCGAGUGGUUGCUAAACUACUAUGCACGUUUGAUUAUCGGAGAUUUCCGCGGACAUACUUCGUGAAGCCAAAGGAGAUUGAAUCUGAGCAUCAAAAAAGCGACGACGUCUCGCGCCGCACGGGCAGUGUGAGGAGUGUCCCGCGAUGGCGGCCGCACCGCUGCUGGCCGGCCUGUUGCUGGCCGGCCUGGCCGCCGCCAGGGAGGACCUGAACCUAGACGAACUGGAUCCCGGACAUGGACCGCGACAUAUUCCGGUUCUGCGUGGCCUGCCCCCUGCCGCCGCGCACCUCGGCCGAGUACUGCCGCCGGGUGUGCGCCAGGAAGAACGUCCCGCCGCCGGAG